AGCGUACACGGUGGAUGCCCUGGCAGUCAGAGGCGAUGAAGGACGUGCUAAUCUGCGAUAAGCGUCGGUAAGGUGAUAUGAACCGUUAUAACCGGCGAUUUCCGAAUGGGGAAACCCAGUGUGUUUCGACACACUAUCAUUAACUGAAUCCAUAGGUUAAUGAGGCGAACCGGGGGAACUGAAACAUCUAAGUACCCCGAGGAAAAGAAAUCAACCGAGAUUCCCCCAGUAGCGGCGAGCGAACGGGGAGCAGCCCAGAGCCUGAAUCAGUGUGUGUGUUAGUGGAAGCGUCUGGAAAGGCGCGCGAUACAGGGUGACAGCCCCGUACACAAAAAUGCACAUAUUGUGAGCUCGAUGAGUAGGGCGGGACACGUGGUAUCCUGUCUGAAUAUGGGGGGACCAUCCUCCAAGGCUAAAUACUCCUGACUGACCGAUAGUGAACCAGUACCGUGAGGGAAAGGCGAAAAGAACCCCGGCGAGGGGAGUGAAAAAGAACCUGAAACCGUGUACGUACAAGCAGUGGGAGCCUCUUUUAUGGGGUGACUGCGUACCUUUUGUAUAAUGGGUCAGCGACUUAUAUUCUGUAGCAAGGUUAACCGAAUAGGGGAGCCGAAGGGAAACCGAGUCUUAACUGGGCGUUAAGUUGCAGGGUAUAGACCCGAAACCCGGUGAUCUAGCCAUGGGCAGGUUGAAGGUUGGGUAACACUAACUGGAGGACCGAACCGACUAAUGUUGAAAAAUUAGCGGAUGACUUGUGGCUGGGGGUGAAAGGCCAAUCAAACCGGGAGAUAGCUGGUUCUCCCCGAAAGCUAUUUAGGUAGCGCCUCGUGAACUCAUCUCCGGGGGUAGAGCACUGUUUCGGCAAGGGGGUCAUCCCGACUUACCAACCCGAUGCAAACUGCGAAUACCGGAGAAUGUUAUCACGGGAGACACACGGCGGGUGCUAACGUCCGUCGUGAAGAGGGAAACAACCCAGACCGCCAGCUAAGGUCCCAAAGUCAUGGUUAAGUGGGAAACGAUGUGGGAAGGCCCAGACAGCCAGGAUGUUGGCUUAGAAGCAGCCAUCAUUUAAAGAAAGCGUAAUAGCUCACUGGUCGAGUCGGCCUGCGCGGAAGAUGUAACGGGGCUAAACCAUGCACCGAAGCUGCGGCAGCGACACUAUGUGUUGUUGGGUAGGGGAGCGUUCUGUAAGCCUGUGAAGGUGUGCUGUGAGGCAUGCUGGAGGUAUCAGAAGUGCGAAUGCUGACAUAAGUAACGAUAAAGCGGGUGAAAAGCCCGCUCGCCGGAAGACCAAGGGUUCCUGUCCAACGUUAAUCGGGGCAGGGUGAGUCGACCCCUAAGGCGAGGCCGAAAGGCGUAGUCGAUGGGAAACAGGUUAAUAUUCCUGUACUUGGUGUUACUGCGAAGGGGGGACGGAGAAGGCUAUGUUGGCCGGGCGACGGUUGUCCCGGUUUAAGCGUGUAGGCUGGUUUUCCAGGCAAAUCCGGAAAAUCAAGGCUGAGGCGUGAUGACGAGGCACUACGGUGCUGAAGCAACAAAUGCCCUGCUUCCAGGAAAAGCCUCUAAGCAUCAGGUAACAUCAAAUCGUACCCCAAACCGACACAGGUGGUCAGGUAGAGAAUACCAAGGCGCUUGAGAGAACUCGGGUGAAGGAACUAGGCAAAAUGGUGCCGUAACUUCGGGAGAAGGCACGCUGAUAUGUAGGUGAAGUCCCUCGCGGAUGGAGCUGAAAUCAGUCGAAGAUACCAGCUGGCUGCAACUGUUUAUUAAAAACACAGCACUGUGCAAACACGAAAGUGGACGUAUACGGUGUGACGCCUGCCCGGUGCCGGAAGGUUAAUUGAUGGGGUUAGCGCAAGCGAAGCUCUUGAUCGAAGCCCCGGUAAACGGCGGCCGUAACUAUAACGGUCCUAAGGUAGCGAAAUUCCUUGUCGGGUAAGUUCCGACCUGCACGAAUGGCGUAAUGAUGGCCAGGCUGUCUCCACCCGAGACUCAGUGAAAUUGAACUCGCUGUGAAGAUGCAGUGUACCCGCGGCAAGACGGAAAGACCCCGUGAACCUUUACUAUAGCUUGACACUGAACAUUGAGCCUUGAUGUGUAGGAUAGGUGGGAGGCUUAGAAGUGUGGACGCCAGUCUGCAUGGAGCCGACCUUGAAAUACCACCCUUUAAUGUUUGAUGUUCUAACGUGGACCCGUGAUCCGGGUUGCGGACAGUGUCUGGUGGGUAGUUUGACUGGGGCGGUCUCCUCCUAAAGAGUAACGGAGGAGCACGAAGGUUGGCUAAUCCUGGUCGGACAUCAGGAGGUUAGUGCAAUGGCAUAAGCCAGCUUGACUGCGAGCGUGACGGCGCGAGCAGGUGCGAAAGCAGGUCAUAGUGAUCCGGUGGUUCUGAAUGGAAGGGCCAUCGCUCAACGGAUAAAAGGUACUCCGGGGAUAACAGGCUGAUACCGCCCAAGAGUUCAUAUCGACGGCGGUGUUUGGCACCUCGAUGUCGGCUCAUCACAUCCUGGGGCUGAAGUAGGUCCCAAGGGUAUGGCUGUUCGCCAUUUAAAGUGGUACGCGAGCUGGGUUUAGAACGUCGUGAGACAGUUCGGUCCCUAUCUGCCGUGGGCGCUGGAGAACUGAGGGGGGCUGCUCCUAGUACGAGAGGACCGGAGUGGACGCAUCACUGGUGUUCGGGUUGUCAUGCCAAUGGCACUGCCCGGUAGCUAAAUGCGGAAGAGAUAAGUGCUGAAAGCAUCUAAGCACGAAACUUGCCCCGAGAUGAGUUCUCCCUGACUCCUUGA
rnacentral:rRNA from 1 species